UACGGAGGUGGCUAGCGUUGUUCGGAUUUAUUGGGUGUAAAGGGCAUGUAGGUGUUCUGAUAAGUUUCUGGUGAAAUCCCCCGACUCAAUCGUGGAACUGCCUGAAAAACUAUCAGAAUUGAGUGCAGAAGAGGAGAGUAGAAUUUCCGGUGUAAGAGUGAAAUCUGUAGAUAUCGGAAGGAAUACCUGUGGCGAAAGCGACUCUCUAGUAUGAUACUGACACUGAAAUGCGAAAGCUAGGGGAGCAAACAGG
rnacentral:rRNA from 1 species